rnacentral:misc_RNA from 1 species
UUAAGUUCAGCGGGUAUUCCUACCUGAUCCGAGGUCAACCUUGAGUUAAAGAUGGUUCUUUAACGGCCGGAGCGCCGCCCAACGCCCUAAGCGAGAAAAUGAAUUACUACGCUCGGAGUUGUAGCGAGCCCGCCACUUCCUUCAGGCCAGCGGCAGCCGUGGGGCCCCAACACCAAGCAGGGCUUGAGGGUUGAAAUGAC